rnacentral:rRNA from 1 species
GGACUACCGGGGUUUCUAAUCCUGUUUGCUCCCCACGCUUUCGCAGUUGAGUGUCAGUAACUGUCCAGGCCGCCGCUUUCGCCUCUGGUGUUCCUCCCGAUCUCUACGCAUUUCACCGCUACACCGGGAAUUCCACGACCCUCUCCAGUACUCCAGUCCCACCGUUUCUAAGGCACUUCUUGAGUUAAGCUCAAGGAUUUCACCCCAGACAAAUGAGACCACCUACCUGCCCUUUACGCCCAAUGAUUCCGAGCAACGCUUGCACCCUCUGUAUUACCGCGGCUGCUGGCAC